AGAGGGAACCCGGUGAGAAUCCGGGACUGUCCCGCAGCGGUAUGCAGGAACGACCGCCGUCAUCAGCACUGGUCCGCGGACUGGGAAGCGACGGCCAUUAGGGGCACCCCGCGGUGCGCGCCUGCGAGUCCGAAGACCU
rnacentral:ncRNA from 2 species